GGUGAACGCUGGCGGUAGGCCUAACACAUGCAAGUCGAACGGCAGCACAGUAAGAGCUUGCUCUUACGGGUGGCGAGUGGCGGACGGGUGAGGAAUACAUCGGAAUCUACUUUUUCGUGGGGGAUAACGUAGGGAAACUUACGCUAAUACCGCAUACGACCUACGGGUGAAAGCAGGGGAUCUUCGGACCUUGCGCGAUUGAAUGAGCCGAUGUCGGAUUAGCUAGUUGGCGGGGUAAAGGCCCACCAAGGCGACGAUCCGUAGCUGGUCUGAGAGGAUGAUCAGCCACACUGGAACUGAGACACGGUCCAGACUCCUACGGGAGGCAGCAGUGGGGAAUAUUGGACAAUGGGCGCAAGCCUGAUCCAGCCAUACCGCGUGGGUGAAGAAGGCCUUCGGGUUGUAAAGCCCUUUUGUUGGGAAAGAAAAGCAGCAGGUUAAUACCCCGCUGUUCUGACGGUACCCAAAGAAUAGGCACCGGCUAACUUCGUG
rnacentral:rRNA from 1 species